GGGUGGUUAGCUCAGCUGGGAGAGCAACUCGUUUACACCGAGUAGGUCGGGGGUUCGAGCCCCUCACCACCCACCA
rnacentral:tRNA from 6 species